rnacentral:rRNA from 1 species
GACGAACGCUGGCGGCGUGCUUAACACAUGCAAGUCGAACGGAAAGGCCCUGCUUUUGUGGGGUGCUCGAGUGGCGAACGGGUGAGUAACACGUGAGUAACCUGCCCUUGACUUUGGGAUAACUUCAGGAAACUGUGGCUAAUACCGGAUAGGAGCUCCUGCUGCAUGGUGUGGGUUGGAAAGUUUCGGCGGUUGGGGAUGGACUCGCGGCUUAUCAGCUUGUUGGUGGGGUAGUGGCUCACCAAGGCUUUGACGGGUAGCCGGCCUGGGAGGGUGACCGGCCACAGUGGGACUGAGAUACGGCCAAGAGUGCUACGGGAGGCAGCAGUGGGGAACAUUGCACAAUGGGCGGAAGCCUGAUGCAGCAACGCCGCGUGCGGGAUGACGGCCUUCGGGUUGGAAACCGCUUGCGCCUGUGACGAAGCGUGAGUGACGGUAAUGGGUAAAGAAGCACCGGCUAACUACGUG